rnacentral:rRNA from 1 species
UACGUAGGGGGCUAGCGUUGUCCGGAAUCAUUGGGCGUAAAGAGCGUGUAGGCGGCCCGGUAAGUCCGCUGUAAAAGUCAAAGGCUCAACCUUUGAAUGUCAGUGGAUACUGUCGGGCUAGAGUCCGGAAGAGGCGAGUGGAACUCCUGGUGUAGCGGUGAAAUGCGUAGAUAUCAGGAGGAACACCGGUGGCGAAGGCGGCUCUCUGGACGGAUACUGACGCUGAGGCGCGAAAGCGUGGGGAUCAAACAGG